CGUAGGGGCAAGCGUUAUCCGGAUUUACUGGGUGUAAAGGGAGCGCAGACGGAACUGCAAGUCUGAUGUGAAAGCCCGGGGCUCAACCGCGGGACUGCAUUGGAAACUGUAGAUCUGGAGUGCCGGAGGGGCAAGCGGAAUUCCUGGUGUAGCGGUGAAAUGCGUAGAUAUCAGGAGGAACACCGGCGGCGAAGGCGGCUUGCUGGACGGCAACUGACGUUGAGGCUCGAAAGCGUGGGGAGCAAACAGGAUUAGAUACCCUGGUA
rnacentral:rRNA from 1 species